UCAGUACUCCCUCCGUUCCAAAUUACUCGUCGCAGAAAUGGAUGUAUCUAGAACUAAAAUACAUCUAGAUACAUCCAUACCUACGACAAGUAAUUUGGAACGGAGGGAGUAGAUA
rfam:Triticum aestivum genome assembly, contig: Triticum_aestivum_CS42_TGACv1_scaffold_197375_3AL